AGAAGAGAAAGAGGGGAAAAGGGGGGCCUUGCAGCCAUGUCAUCCAGCACCCCAGAGCCCGCUGCACACACUCACGAAGCCACUACUACCGCUGGCUUUCUUACAAACGAGCACUGUCUCCAACUUCUUCUUCUAAAAAGACCACAUUACCCAUUAGUCAGGGUUUCAGAAACUGCAUGACCCUGUGGCUGCCGUAAACUUACACAAUCAGUGCCAUCAAAGUCUCCAGCCUCCACUGAUUCAGGGGGAUGUGUCUGGGCUGGUCCAAUUAAGAGCAGAGCUGAAGAUGGAUAGCAGAUGACAAGCCACACCGGAGAGGACGAAGCCUAGGGAACUGCGGGAUAAAAAGGAGAGCCUGGCUCAGGCCUACCUGAGGUCAGCUCCACUGCUGGAGAUCCCAAUUAAAACAAGCUUCCAGCACAUUCCGUAAGUGGCGUGCACCAAUCUGCUCCUGACCAAACUAAGAUAUACUCUGACACCAGGUCUCUGGGUCCAGGAUACUCCGUUCCCAUACGGUUGUUCUAAAACUGAACUGACUUGAGCUAAGUGUGAUAGCUCUUGUCUGUAAUUCUUUAACUCCCAAGGCAAGACGUUCGACAUGAGUCAGAGAACAGCCUGUGCUACAGCAAGAAGCAUUGUCUCACGAGGAGAAAAAAAAAAACAAAAUCAAGACGAAACUGGUGAGCGUUAUUCUACCUCCCUCAUUUACAACUGUGAUUCUAGAAAACUCACGCACGACCUGCGCUGACCUCAAACUGGUAAUGUCUGCCUUCAAAAUGGGGACCACAAGCCCAAUCUUAACCCUCUGUGUACUGCACUGCUUAUGCAAGACAAAUUUUUUUCAACGUUCAAACAUUGAGCAAUGUAUGAAAUUGAGUUCAAAGUUACACACAAGGGGCACCGUGUGCUCCUCUCGAAAUGAACUUGCAAUAAAUCGUCAGGUCUAGAAAGGUGGCUUAGUGAUUAGGAGCACUCGGUGCACUUCCUCGGGACCUCGAUUUGUUUUCCAGCAACCACAGGCCAGUUCACAACCACUUGUAACUCUAGAAAAUGCCUCCUUCCGACCUCUGAGGGCAUCUGCGUGCAGGGCAGAGACAUGCACCCAGUCAAAUUACUUGUACACAUCAAAUGACAACUAAGGGAAGGGGAGGGUGGAAAGGAAUACUAGUUUACAAGGGAGAACUGACAGAAGUGCCCCCCCUGAAUGUCCAACAGUAUCAGUUAACAAAUGAUAACCAGAAGACGUCAAUCUCCCUCCUGUCCUCCAUUCCUGAUGACAUGUGGCUCGGUACCCCCAACCUCACUCAGAGGUGCCUCAGACUGACUGCAGCUACGUCACAGGAUGUGGGCGCUUCACACAUUUUUUUCUAAGGUCUGGCCUGAAUGAGAUGGCAAAAGCAUUCAGAUCUAAACUGCUUUACACAGUUUCAACGGGUCCAUGACAGAGCUACAAAUGCAGACCCUGGGAUAUUCACCAUCAGUCCUUCAUGAAGGCAACCCUGGGAACGCAACAAACUGAGGUGGAGACCCACAGUUACCACACGAAAGUCAAAAGCACUCUGUGACAGAAGAAAUCAUACAUCUCAUAAAACCCCACGGGACUCAAUUAAAAACAGCAGCCCUCAUGGCCCUUGGACUCAAGAACAGCGAAUUCCAGCUGGUUUGCGUGACUGGACUGGACACCUCUUUAACCAAUUUCCAUGAGGUCUUCUUUUUUUCCUAGAAUACUGCCGAAAGCCUGCCUGGGUAGAGAAAGAGAGACAUGCCCAGUCCCUUGCAGAAUGUCCCCAAAAGUAAGUGAUGUGGCAGAGAAGCACCCUUAGUCUCACAGAGACAAGAUGUUACAGGCCAAGCACCCAUGGGAAUGCAUCCCAACACCUGAGUCUGCUCAUUCAAGAAACACUUUAGGAGCUCCGCAGGCCAGGCACUGCUGGAAGAAAACAAAGGCAUAAUUCAUGCAGAGAGAACAAAUAAUAGAUUAACUAACCAGCAAACAGGGGUGACGCCGCCUGUAAAUUAUACAUGAAGAGCCGCCUACGUAAGUCAGCAAAAUAGAGACAGAAAGAGAGGGGACUGGUGAUACAGAGACAGAAUUCUCCGUGGAUUUAUUUAUGGAGAAGGAAAGCAGUGCCCUUCCUCUCACUGAAGCUGCACAAGCUGGGAUCUGAUGCGUAUACUAAACUAGCCUUUGCUGAGUUCUGAAUCCAACAGGCACGUGUGGUCAGCAACCCUUAGCCGGCAACUCAGGAAGAAGAAGAAGAAGACCAGAAGAUCCUUUGUACAGACCCACCAUUUCUGUGGCUGUGGAACAGGUCAAUUCACAAUGCAACAGGCCUUUCAAAUCAUCUCAGGGUCACACA
rnacentral:sRNA from 1 species